AUGCUUGCCUGGCAGGGGAGAUACCGUGAUCACAAAGGUGGCUUUCCCAGGGAGAGGCUCAUCCAUUGCACCCCAGAUGUGCUGACCCCUGCGUUUUCCCCAAAUGCAGGAAACUCGUUUGCAUAAUUUGUGGUUAGUGGUGCUUUCCCCUAU
ensembl:snRNA U1 U1 spliceosomal RNA